rnacentral:rRNA from 1 species
ACAACGGAGAGUUUGAUCCUGGCUCAGGAUGAACGCUGGCGGCGUGCUUAACACAUGCAAGUCGAACGAACCUUCGGGUUAGUGGCGGACGGGUGAGUAACGCGUGAGAAUCUGCCCUCAGGAGGGGGAUAACGGCUGGAAACGGCCGCUAAUACCCCAUAUGCCGCGAGGUGAAAUGAAUUUCGCCUGAGGAUGAGCUCGCGUCUGAUUAGCUAGUUGGUGGGGUAAAAGCCUACCAAGGCUUCGAUCAGUAGCUGGUCUGAGAGGAUGAUCAGCCACACUGGGACUGAGACACGGCCCAGACUCCUACGGGAGGCAGCAGUGGGGAAUUUUCCGCAAUGGGCGAAAGCCUGACGGAGCAACGCCGCGUGAGGGAUGAAGGCCUCUGGGCUGUAAACCUCUUUUAUCAAGGAAGAAGAUCUGACGGUACUUGAUGAAUAAGCCACGGCUAAUUCCGUGCCAGCAGCCGCGGUAAUACGGGAGUGGCAAGCGUUAUCCGGAAUUAUUGGGCGUAAAGCGUCCGCAGGCGGUCUUGUAAGUCUGUUGUUAAAGCGUGGAGCUUAACUCCAUUUCAGCAAUGGAAACUGUAAGACUAGAGUGUGGUAGGGGCAGAGGGAAUUCCCGGUGUAGCGGUGAAAUGCGUAGAUAUCGGGAAGAACACCAGUGGCGAAGGCGCUCUGCUGGGCCAUAACUGACGCUCAUGGACGAAAGCCAGGGGAGCGAAAGGGAUUAGAUACCCCUGUAGUCCUGGCCGUAAACGAUGAACACUAGGUGUCGGGGGAAUCGACCCCCUCGGUGUCGUAGCCAACGCGUUAAGUGUUCCGCCUGGGGAGUACGCACGCAAGUGUGAAACUCAAAGGAAUUGACGGGGGCCCGCACAAGCGGUGGAGUAUGUGGUUUAAUUCGAUGCAACGCGAAGAACCUUACCAGGGUUUGACAUCCUGCGAAUCCCUUGGAAACGAGGGAGUGCCUUCGGGAACGCAGUGACAGGUGGUGCAUGGCUGUCGUCAGCUCGUGUCGUGAGAUGUUGGGUUAAGUCCCGCAACGAGCGCAACCCACGUCGUUAGUUGCCAGCAUUCAGUUGGGCACUCUAGCGAGACCGCCGGUGAUAAACCGGAGGAAGGUGUGGAUGACGUCAAGUCAUCAUGCCCCUUACAUCCUGGGCUACACACGUACUACAAUGCUACGGACAAAGGGCAGCAAACUCGCGAGAGCUAGCAAAUCCCAUAAACCGUGGCUCAGUUCAGAUCGUAGGCUGCAACUCGCCUACGUGAAGGAGGAAUCGCUAGUAAUCGCAGGUCAGCAUACUGCGGUGAAUACGUUCCCGGGCCUUGUACACACCGCCCGUCACACCAUGGAAGUUGGCCACGCCCGAAGCCGUUACUCCAACCCUUGUGGAGGAGGAUGUCGAAGGUGGGGCUGAUGACUGGGGUGAAGUCGUAACAAGGUAGCCGUACCGGAAGGUGCGGCUGGAUCACCUCCUA